GCCGCCUGGAGGGACCCAAGGGCCUUGGGCUGGGACUUGGGGCCGCACCGGGGCCUGAGGCAGAAGAGCGACGCGGACUGGGAGAGGGCGGGGGGCGGCCACCGAGCCAGGAGAGGGAUCAAGAACCAUCGCACUGUGGCCUGAUGCUGUAGCCAGGCGGGGACUCGGGCGGUGGCUACUGCACGGAGGCCGAGUCCGGAUCGGCUGGGGCAGGGUUGGAGGGACCACGCCCGCCACCUGCGCUCCCAUCGCCAGGGCUCCUGGGGGCGGCUCCCUAGCUCCGAGCUACGCUCUCCACUUCCUGGGCUAUCUGCAUUCAGAGCGAGGUUGAUUCGAGGGAAUUAACAAGUUCACCCUCCAAAGUGUAUAGAGAAAGUGGAGGAGCUUAGUGAGAUGCAUAAAUGGGGGAGCAAUCUCACUUUUAAACGGAUAAGUAUGGAGUACGUAUUUCUAUUUUCUGAAUGAAGUUGAAUAAAAUCACCAUUUGUGGAGAAGUUUUCAGUUUUCACUGCAAUCUUGGAGCAAGAAAUGUGCAUCACAACUUCUUUUUCUUUCAAAUGUUUCAUUUGGUGGGCUCUAGAAAGGGCUUUAGACCACAUCAAAUCCUGAGGACUAGGCUCUGCAGAUCUCUUUGAAAUCUUCAUAUGUCCUUGAACAUGUAUUUUAUCACACAAAAAAUUUAAAUCAACAUUGAUAGAACUGCACCUGAGAGAAAAAAUAUCUUCCAGGACAUCAAGAUGACAAAAUGAUAUAAGCAAGGACUUUGGAGUUAGAAUCUGACUGCACUUACUACCUUAGUGACCUUGAGUAAAAUAUUUCACUCUUCAUUUUAUUCAUCUGUAAAAUGGGAGUGGAAGAUUGCUGUAACACUGUGCCCAGAGUAAAUGCUCAAAUAACGAAUCAGUAAAUUGAUGUUUUUGGUAGUAUCACCUGCCCAUGUUUCCUUUCAGCUAUAGUCCACAAACAUGUUUAUGUUUUACCACUUGUAAUUAUUUGUAGGCUAAAUUUAUUUUUUACUGUUUUGUAAACUUAGCAUUUUAUUAUCUCUUAUUAGCUGUGUGUUCCUGGACACGUUAUUUAACCUCUGUGUCCUCAUUUUCUCACCAGUAAAAUGUAUUACUAGUAUCUGGGUUACUAGUAUCCGGAUAAAGUAUAGACUGCCAGUCCAAUUUGAAUUUCAGAUAAACAAUGGGUAAUAAUGCAUGGCACAUAAUUAUACAAAACAAUUAUCUGUUGUUUAUCUGAAAUUCAAAUUGAACUGGGCAUCCUAUAAUUUUAUUUGGUGAUGCUGACAACGCUAUACUAGUACCUAACUCACAAUGCAUAUGAAAUACCAUAGUACCUGGUAUAUGCUCAUAGUAAUACACAUAGUAAAUGCUCAAUAAAUACUAGCCAUUAUUUCUAUUAUUAUAAUUUUCCCAUUGUUAACACUUAUGAUUAUGUAAUUAUUAUUAUUAUUGUGAUGACUAUGUAUAUUCCAAAGAAUGGCUAUGCCUUUUUUAUUUAACCAUUCUUUUGAGGCUAUUCUAGCUUGUAAUUUUUUUUUUUUUAGUAUGAAUAAUGUCUUGUAUUUAUAGUUCCCUAUUUCCUUUUGGGAAAAUUUUUUCGUGAUAAAUUAUAAACAGUGAGCCCUAAUUGCUUUCGGUAGAUCUAUGUUAGUUAGUCCUGCUACAUGUCAACAGUAAAUCUGCUAGUGAAUUAGGUGUAUAAUGUGAACAAAAAGUUGCUAGUUUAACAUGGUUUAAAUAGCUGCCUAGUUGUUUCGAUUUGUGUGUUUUUUUGUUGUUGUUGUUGUUGGUAGGACUGAAUAUUUUUUGUUUUGAACCUUAUAUUUACUCUUAUGUGAUUUUUUGUGUUCUCUACCACAUUCUCUAUCAUGUGCCAGUUUAUUUUUUGAGAAUCUUAAGGUUUUUUCUACCAGUUUCCAUUAAUUAGAAUGUAAAUAUUCUGUCAAAUUAGCUCACAGAAGGAGUAUUGUAUAGUGAAUGAGCUCAGAUUGUCUAUCUAUAAUCAACCCAUUAUAUUUAAGUGUCUUUUGAAAUUUCAGGGAUGCUUCAAUAAAUAGGGAUUAGUGGUAACAUUCUUUUCCAAUGCAAAAUGCUGCAUUCAUUAAUAUGAAAUAUGAGAAAAGUUGUUAUAAUUUGAAUCUCUUUUUCUUUGUGUUUUCUUUCCCACUCCAAACCACCCCACCCUACCCUUAUGUAGCUGUUACUUAACCACAUUGAACGGAUCAAUCUUUUCUAGUUAUAAUUAAGUUAAAUUCCAAAAACAUUUAUUGAGGGCCCCUUAAGUGCUAUGUACAAGGUUGGGCAUCUGUCAUUCAAAGAUACAUUAGACAUGCUUACUGCCCCUAUGGAAUUGACAUAAAACAAUAAUGGCAAUUAAUAAAAUCAAGAAGGGAGAUAUCUACUGGAUACAGUACAGAAAAAAGAGUAGAGAAGUAAUAAGCUGACUUGAGCGGAUCUGCAGAGGCUUCCAACAGAAGGCUAUUCUUGGGCAGAAGAGUUUGCCUGGAAUUUGUUGGUGGGAAGAGCAUUCUAGGAAUUUACAAAGGUCCUAACACAGAAGAGGAUGAAUUCUGGGUAACAGUAAGUUGAGUGUGUUUUGCGAAUGUUGAGAGAUGGAUCUGCUCUAGUAAACAAUGGUCAAAUCAGAUCACGAAAGCCCCUGUAUGCCAUUGCCAAAAUCCCACUGAGGGCUGACUGGAGCGCUCUGAUACAGAAAUCUUGAAAGAAGUACAGUUUAUAUGAUAAGCUCAAAGCAUCCAUUCUCAGCAAAGCACACCAGGAGAUUUCAGUUCCGUAAAUGCAACUUCUCAAGUCUUCCUGGUUCCUCAUGGAAAAUAUACUCAGGUUACUGGCAAAGAUGUUCUUUCUGUCCAAGAUAAGGUCCUCACAGAUUGGAAUCAAUGAAUGGAAGUUUACCCAUUUUAGAUCUCCAACAUGUCAUCCGAAACCCAUCUGUAAUUACCUUGAAUGGUUGUAAAGACUGCCUUUAGCAAGUUUAGUCAUCUGGUUCAAACAUCUGGACUCCAGAUAUAAUUCCUGACUAUGCCAACAGUGACAUCUUGCUUCCUUGCCUGGUUAUUUAAUAAUGAAGAAAGCAAUGUGUUCAGCUGCAUUGUAACUACCCAGUCUGUGGAUGUGCACAGUCUGUUUUCUCUGAAGUUAUAGGGCCCAAGAGGGAAUAAGCAUGGCAGGCCUGCCUAGUGCUCACCAAACCAUGCUGUAGAGAUGGUUGUUUAUUCUGUGUACAGGGGCUGCCAAUUAACAGGCACAAUUUUUAAAAAUAAUUGAUUGAAUGCCCUUAAGUGGGUCACAUGCUGUCCAUUUCUAAUAUCUGCCUCCUCGUCCUCACCCCAUACAUGUACACUUUGCUUAUCACAUUUUUGGGACAUGCCUGCCUAUUGAAGACAUCUUAGUUUGUAUCAGCUGUAGCACUGCAGAACCAUUAAAAGAGUUUACGCUGAAAAUUCAGGUGAGUUUUAACCCUUAAUUAGGUAUUCUGGAGACCAGAUGAAAAUUGAUUGGAGAGGCUGUAGUUGGGGAUGCCAGUUAUUUGCUCAUCAUAUGUUUACUGAGUAUCUACUAAGUACCAGGCUCUGUCCUAAGUAUGGACAAAUGUAGAUAUCUAGACACAGUAUUGUACAUACAGUAGGGAAUCAAACAGAAAAUUAAAUGUUUGUCCUCAUGAAACUUACAUUUUGGUGAGAGGAAAAUGAUAAUAUAUAUGUAAAUUAUAUAGUAUGUUAGAUAGUAGUAAGUGCUAAGGAAAAAAAAAAAAAAAGCGUGGAAAGAGACCAAGACAUAAAGACUAAACUGGCAUCACUGAGAAGUUGACAAAUGAGUAAAGGUUAGAAGGAAAUGUGGGAGCAGGAUACGCGUGUAGCAGGGGAAGAGCAUUCCAGGCAGGAGAGCAGCGGGUACAAAGGUCCCAAGGCAGGAUUGUGCUUGACAUGUUUAGAUACUAGCCAAGGGUUAGUAUGACUGUAGUGAGGUUGGCAAAAAAGAGAGUAGUAGUAGAUGAGGUCAGAGAGGUGAUGGCAGACUGAUUAUAGGCCUCUAUAAGCCUUUUUUUUUUUUUUUUAAGUGACUUUUACUUGCAGUAAGAUAGGAAGACAUUAGCAAGUUUUAUCAGAAGAGAGAUAACAUCUGACUUAGGAAGAGAAGGGAUCACUCUGACCAGCACAUAGAAAACAGACUAUAGGAGGGUAAGGUUGAAGUUAGGGAGAGGAAUUAUAAAGCUGUUGUAAUCAUGUAGGUGAAAGAUGGUGGUGGCUUGGACCAGAGCGAUAGCAGUGGAGAUAGUAGGAGGUGGUCAGAUUCUGGGCAGCUGGAAGGUAGAGAAGACAACAUUUACUAAUGGAUGGAUAUUGAGUGUGAAAGAGACGAAUCAAGACUAAGACUGUGGCCUGAGCAGCUAGGACAAUAGAGUUGCAGGAGAAGUAAGCUUGAGGGGAAUGACCAGCAGCUCAGUUUUUGAUGUGGGAUGUUGCAAAUGCUUAUUAGUGAGUCCAGUGGGGAUACAGACUAGACAGUUGGAUAUAUGAGCCUGGAGUUUGGGAAAGAUGGCUAGGCUGAGGAUAUAAACAUGGGAGUUGUCAGCAUGUAUGUGAUAUUUAAAAUGAGUCUGUCUGAAAUUAUCUAGGAAGGCAAAGUAAACAGGAGAGUGAAGAGGACCCGGACUAAGUUCUAGAACUGUCCAACAGUAAGAGGCUAGAGAGAACUUGAGGAACCACAAAGGAAGAUUAAUGAAGAGACACCAGAAAUGAAAGAGAAAAUCCAAGCAAUAGUGUUGACCUGGAAGCCAAGAUGAACAAGAAGGUAAUCAAAUAAGAAGGAAUAAGCAGCUGUGUCCAGUGCUACUGUUAGGUCAAGCAGAAUGAAGACUGGGUACUCACCAUUGCAGGUAGUGAUGCAGGGGUCAUUGGAAGUGAUGUUGACAAGCAUUUUUGAUAGAGAGGUGGCAACAAGAGCCUGAUUGGCGUGGCUCUAAGAGAGAUUGAAGGGAGAGGAAUUGGGGCAGUGAAGACAGAAUAUUCAUUUAAGUUUUUCUGCUGACAAGAACAAAUAAAUGGCAUAGUAGUUGCCGGUGAGGGAAGUGAGAUCAAGAGUUGUAUUUAUUUAUUUAUUUAUUUAUUCAUAAGUUACAAGACUUAACAGCACCAAGGUGAUGGGAAUGACUAGUACAGAACAAAAAUUCAUGAUAUAGGAUAAAGAGGGGAGGAUUGCUAGAAUGAUAUACUUGGUUGAGAAGUUGGGUACAUUUCCCAAGAGUUCAGUGUAGGCAUUUAGGCACCACAGGCACAUAGAUGAUAUUUAAAGCCAAAACACUAGAUGAGCUUACUGUCUUAAUCCAUUUGCACUGCCCUAGCAAAAUUACUAUAAGCUGGGUAGCUUAUGAACAACAAACAUUUAUUUCUCACAGUUCUGCAGGCUGGAAAGUCCAAGAGCAAGGAGCUUUCAGAUGCGUGUCAGGUGAGGGCCUGUUCCUCAUAGAGAGCACCUUCUCUCUGUGUCCUCACAUGGUGGAAGGGGUUUCUUUCAUAAGGGCAUUAAUCCCAUUCAUGGGGGCUCUGCCCUCAUAGUCUAGUCACUUCCCCAAAAGCCCUAGCUGUUAGCAUUUUUCAUACUAGGGAUUAGGUUUCAAUAUAUGAAUUUGGGGAGGACACAAACAUUCAGACCUUCACACUUACCAAGGGGUGAAUAAAAAAUAGAAAAGAAGUCAAACAACUGGUUAGAAGUUAGAGAAAUGUGCAGGAACAAAUAAGGAGACUGAGAAGGACCAGAAAGUAAUGUGGGAGAAAAAUCAAGACCAUGCUGGCUUGGAAAUUAAGAAAGUAUUCCUAGGUGGAAAGAAGGAUCCCCUGAGUUAAACACAGCUGAUAGGUCAAGUAAGAUGACAACCAAGAACUGACCAUUGCAUUUAAUAACAUGGAGGCUAAUUGGUGACCUUGAACCGAGUGGUUUUGGAGGAGUGGUGCCUGAGUGGAAUUGGUGAAAGUCUAACUAGAGUCUUUUAAAAAGAGAAUGAGAGGAGAGAAAUUGAGGGAAAAGUAAGCAAUUUUUUUGAAUUAUUUUGUGAAGGGAAAGGGAGGAGAAACUGAUUCAAAAGAAGGCUUUUAAAGGAAAGACAAAAUAACUGUGUAUUCUGGAGAGAGGGAAAAAUGAUGUAGAGGAUUGAACUGCUGGAGUGAUGUGCUCAGUAGGCUGAGUAGGUGGGUUUUUCAACAACACUUUAUUCAUUGUCAAGAAGUCAGGGCAGAGUAUGUGGGCACAGGUGGGCAGAUGUGGUUUGGGAAUCUUGCAGAAGUUUGCCUUCUGAUUGCUCUUCUAUUCUUGGUGAAAUAGGAAGCAGCAAAUUUAUAGUCUGAGUGGGGAUGGUUAGGAA